GAUCCUGGCUCAGAAUCAACGCUGGCGGCGCGCCUAACACAUGCAAGUCGAACGAGAAAGUGGAGCAAUCCAUGAGUACAGUGGCGUACGGGUGAGUAACACGUGGAUGAUCUACCUUUUAGUGGGGAAUAACCGAGGGAAACCUUGGCUAAUACCGCAUAAUCCCGAGAGGGGAAACGCGAAAGCGGCUGAAAGAGGAGUCCGCGGCCGAUUAGCUAGUUGGCAGGGUAAAAGCCUACCAAGGCAAAGAUCGGUAGCCGGCCUGAGAGGGCACACGGCCACACUGGCACUGAAACACGGGCCAGACUCCUACGGGAGGCAGCAGUGGGGAAUCUUGCACAAUGGGGGAAACCCUGAUGCAGCGACGCCGCGUGAGCGAUGAAGCCCUUCGGGGUGUAAAGCUCUUUCGGCAGGGAAGAUUAUGACGGUACCUGCAGAAGCAGCUGCGGCUAACUACGUGCCAGCAGCCGCGGUAAUACGUAGGCAGCAAGCGUUGUUCGGAGUUACUGGGCGUAAAGGGUGUGUAGGCGGUGAUUUAAGUUUGGUGUGAAAUCUCCCGGCUUAACCGGGAGGGUGCGCCGAAUACUGAAUGACUUGGAGUGCGGGAGAGGAAAGUGGAAUUCCUGGUGUAGCGGUGAAAUGCGUAGAUAUCAGGAGGAACACCGGUGGUGUAGACGGCUUUCUGGACCG
rnacentral:rRNA from 1 species